UACGUAGGGGGCGAGCGUUGUCCGGAAUCACUGGGCGUAAAGCGUGCGUAGGCGGUCAAGCAAGUCCGAGGUGAAAGACCGGGGCUCAACUCCGGGGUUGCCUUGGAAACUGCGUGACUUGAGUGCUGGAGAGGCAAGGGGAAUUCCACGUGUAGCGGUGAAAUGCGUAGAUAUGUGGAGGAAUACCAGUGGCGAAGGCGCCUUGCUGGACAGUGACUGACGCUGAGGCACGAAAGCGUGGGGAGCAAACAGG
rnacentral:rRNA from 1 species